UGAUGUCUAGGCCCUGGUCAGUGCUUUGAUUAUUGAUUGCAAAUUUGCAAUUUGCAGGUCGUCGUCCGCAAUAUUAGAAAAAUGCCAAGUUGACUGGACAAUAUCUUUUGCAAUACACAACUUGGAAAACUAGUUUGGUAAGUUUUAUAUAAAUCCUACUUGACAAUCUUAAUUUCUCAAUCAAUAAUUUUUUCAUUUUUAUUUAUUUUAUAUAAGUCAUAUAUAAAAAAGGAAUACAUACAACUCUAUAUGAUCAAAUGUUACGUUAAAAGCUUGAUAAUACAUACGGAUGAGAAUCAUGCAGCAAAGCAAGAAAGAAGGUACAUUUUCGCUUCGAAAAUUAAUUCGCCACAUGUUUUAACAUAAAUUAACAUACAUAUUGAUGCUACAAACUUUAACCAUUAAACACAAUACAGUACUAGCUAGUGGGCAUACCCACUUCAUGCAUAUAUAUAUAAUGCAAUACAAAUACAAAACCUACAAAUUAUUAUUAAAACGGAUUUAAGGCAGCUUUAAUUUAUUAAUUUGACCACGUACUUAAACCCAUGACCAAAUUAAAAAAUGAUUGAUAGGAGUAUUUGAUAUCAGUACUUUUUCGGAUUUGCGAGGAUGUGGGCUUCGACGGUCUUGAGAAUCAAAGCUGACAGCUGAUCGGACUGCUCAACCCUCUCUUUCGGAAUCUCGUCUGAAUCGUUCUUGGGGAUAUAUGCGACAGAUUUCGUCACUAUGCACCCUCCAUGGGUAGGAUGAACUUCAAAAUUACAAAUGAUAGUGUCGAGUAUUCCCAAUCGAAUAUCACCAUCAAUAAUGGUGUACUGGUAUAUCAUUUUCUCAGUGUCAACUACGUCCACCCGUUGUGUCAUGCUCGUAACAUCGCCCACUGCAUGCAUGCAUUCAAGAGAAAUUAAACAUGUGUAUAAAUUGAUUGCAUAUAUAUGUACGUAUAAGAAGAAAAACAUACAUCGCCAGUUAUGAUAUAACAGCUUAAAACGAAGUAAUUUUGAUAUUGAAACGGUAAAAUGACAAUUAAUACCGUCGUUAAUGAUAAUAGCAACAUGACAAAACAAACAUGCGUUAAUGAAAUACCUUUGCCACGUUGGUUGUGAUUGCCAAUUUAUAAUAUUUGUCAAAGAAUAAAUUAGUUGCUAAAUACAAUAUAUAUGCAUGCAUGCAUAAUUAUAGAAAGAAAAUUAACUAAAAGUUAGUUAAUUAACGUACGUUCGCCAAGAGUACUGACUUUGAAGACGGAUCUAACUCCACCAUCUCUAGAAAUGAAUUCAACACUCUUAAAGUACUGUGGCAGAAGUUGAGGGACGAUAGUAUCAAUACUCAAGAAAAAAACCCUUGAACAUUCUUUUUGCUGGAACCGGAGAAAAAGCCUCAACAUGUGAUGUAAGAUGGUCCGAGACCGAAGAUACCGAACUAUCAGAUUUUAUGUUGAUGGCUUUGAAAUAUCAUGAAUUGGAUGAUCGUCAUAAACGAAGAGGUCAUUAAACACCUUCGGCAUUAACACAUUCAACAUCGAGAGAUGAGAUGACACUUUCACCUUCGACUUUGGGAGAUGGGAUGGUGUCUUGACUUCGGAAUUCGACAGUCUAAUAGUUUAUUUGCUUUCUAUAUAUUCUUAUUUAGUUCUUUAAUUAAUAAUAUUUUAUUAUUAGCAAGUUUGUUAUUUUAUUAGAAAUUGUUUCCGUAAAAGUAGAAAGUUUGUUAGAAUUUUUUCACAUCCCUAGGAAGUUUGUCACUACACCAAAAAUGGCCUAUAGCGAAGGAAAUUUUGUGAAGGAAUUUAUUCUUUCACAUGAGGAGUUGUUUAGUGAAGGAACAGUGAAGGAAAAAAGUAUAGUGACAAUAUAGUUAUUAGCGAAAGAAACAUCUUUCACAAUUUAUAUUUUUUUCCUCGCAAAAUUGGGGCGAUAGAAAGAUUUUUGGAGCCAAUUUAUGAUGAAAAUUUGCGAGAAAAAAAUUUAUUUAGUGAAGGAAUUAUUACUCACUAUAUAUCAUUAUUCAGAAAUUUUUUGCGAGGGAUAAAAUCGGUCGCUAUCUUGUUCUAAAUAUUUUUUUUGAAUUAAUUGUGAUGAAUAUAAAUACCUUAAAUUUUUUACAAUAGUAAAUUUAAUUUUAAUCACACUUUUUAAAUAACUUACAAUAUCAACUAUUUAUUUUAAUAAACUAUAAAGUAAAUAACUUUACACUAUGUUAAAUUUUAAAAUUUCUCCAUAAAAGUUUAUUUUUAUAAUUAUAAUUAAAUAAAGUUAAAGUUAAAUAAAAAUAAAUCAUCCAAAAGAUUUUAAAUUUUAUUUUAAGUAUAUAAUAUUAAUCCAAAAAAGUCUUUUGGAGAUUAAUUUAAAGUAGUUUUAUUUUUUGGUAUUUUAUUUAAUAUUAUUAAUAAUCGAUGUAGUAAUUGAUAAAUAAACACACUUUUCUAAUUCUCUCUCUCUUCUCUCUGACUAGGGUUUGUGACUUUGUAGCGAGAGGGGUGAAUGAUACAGCUAUUGUUCAUGUUGAUGUUUGCCAAAAUGGCGGGGAUUCUGCUACUGUUAUUCAGAACCCCUCUGCGAAAGCUUCUGAUUAUGGGUUUGGAUCGCAUUAAACGAGGAAGGGCACCG
rnacentral:lncRNA from 1 species